UACAGAGGCCCCAAGCGUUACUGAGAAUCACUGGGUUUAAAGGGUGCGUAGGUGGCGCGUUAAGUCCGUUGUGAAAGCCCUGGGCUCAACCCAGGAACUGCUUCGGAUACUGGCGCGCUUGAGGCUAGUAGGGGUCACUGGAACUGACGGUGGAGCGGUGAAAUGCGUAGAUAUCGUCAGGAACGCCAAUGGUGAAGACAGGUGACUGGGCUAGUACUGACACUGAGGCACGAAAGCGUGGGGAGCGAACGGG
rnacentral:rRNA from 1 species